AGUGAACGCUGGCGGUAGGCCCAACACAUGCAAGUCGAACGGCAGCACAGUAAGAGCUUGCUCUUACGGGUGGCGAGUGGCGGACGGGUGAGGAAUACAUCGGAAUCUACUUUUUCGUGGGGGAUAACGUAGGGAAACUUACGCUAAUACCGCAUACGACCUACGGGUGAAAGCAGGGGAUCUUCGGACCUUGCGCGAUUGAAUGAGCCGAUUUCGGAUUAGCUAGUUGGCGGGGUAAAGGCCCACCAAGGCGACGAUCCGUAGCUGGUCUGAGAGGAUGGUCAGCCACACUAGAACUGAGACAGGGUCCAGACUCCUACGGGAGGCAGCAGUGGGGAAUAUUGGACAAUGGGCGCAAGCCUGAUCCAGCCAUACCGCGUGGGUGAAGAAGGCCUUCGGGUUGUAAAGCCCUUUUGUUGGGAAAGAAAAGCAGCAGGUUAAUACCCCGCUGUUCUGACGGUACCCAAAGAAUAAGCACCGGCUAACUUCGUG
rnacentral:rRNA from 1 species